CAAGGCAUUGCUUUUAAGGUAGCAUCAAAAGAAGAAAAUAGAAAGUUCCAAUGGUGCAAAGUAUAUACACAAACACUGGAAGCUCAGAGAAAGGCAAAAAGAGCAUAAACCAAAAUUUUCAUUGUCCUUAUCUCUAGGAGAUGAGACAGCAGAUGACUUUUUCCUUUGUGACUUUCAUCCUUUAAGUUUUCCUCAUGUAUCACUUUUGUAAUAAAAAAAAAUUACAGUCAUCCCUUGGUAUCAGCAAGGAUUGGUUCCAGAAUCCCUUGCGGAUAUCAAAAUUUGAGGAUGCUCAAGUCUCUGAUAUAAAAUGGUAUGAUAUUUGCAUAUGACCUAUGCACAACCUUCCAUAGACUUUAAAUGAUCUCUAGAGUACUUGUAGUACCUAAUGCAAUGUAAAUAUCAUGCAAACAGUUGUUAUGCUGUAUUGGUUUUAAUUUGUGUUUAGUUUUAUUAUAUUACUUUAAUUUUUUUUUAAUAUUUUCCAUCCUUGGUUGGUUGAAUUCAUGAGUGUGGAACCUGUGGGCACCGAGGGCCAACUGUUUGGCCGAUUCUUAUUACUCACGGUAGUUAUGUUCUCUAAAGUCACCACAAACAUGGAAUUAGCAAAUACUGGCCAUCGCUUUCAGGGAAAACACAGGGUUAGUCCCCGUGAGCCCAUGGCCACAACACUUGUAUCCACUGAUCGAUAAGUCACCCUGUUUUAUGUGUGUUUCUGUUUAAAGACACCUUACUGAAUAUAUAUUUCUUAAAAAUAAUUAAUAAUAGAUAAUAAAACAUGAGUUGAGAAGGGUUUAGCAUUUUCCUGACCCUGAGUAAUAUGAUCAUAAAUUUAUUGGGCUUUCAGCCUCACAACAGUGCUUUUGUCCCUACCGUUUAUUUUCAACCAGUCCUCAUCUCAUGAAUCCACACAUUUAGCCCUUCCUAUCUUUUCCAUAGCUUCAUCCCACACUAGCAAUGCUAAUACAGUACUUUCCAGGGCCACCUCAUGUACAGAUUGGCAAAUUUCUGCUUCCACUUCCUUGAUGUACCGUGUUGUCGAUUCAUGAAUGGUGUCUCUGGCACCAAGGGCACUGCAGCCCUGCCUGCGCACAGCUUGCCUAACAAUGCAUGUUCCCUGUGGGCGCCUUGCCUUGCACUUAGGAACACCUGGGAGCUUGUCAGUAUGACACUCAGGGGCCAUUUAAAGCAGUGGAAUCACCAAAAAAGCACAAAAAUGCAACAACAACAACAAAAAUGGCACUGCCAAAAGGACACGUUUUCAGUAUUGAGGGCCAUCAAAGAAGGCAGAGUGCUGCCUGCCCGAUCUCGGGGGGAACAACGCGCACGCUGGGGGUGACCCAAAGUUCUUGCUGCUUUUGGUGCAUGGGAGAAUAACCUCAAAAGCACCUCAGGUGUUGAUUUUAGAGAGAAGGUGAAUUCGUAAAUAUGUGAUCCCAACUAAAAAGGGCCAACUGUAAUUAAAAACCAGCAAAUCAGGUUUUCGUUGAUGUCAUUUUGAUUACAUUUCUGAUCUCCUAGAUAAAUCAUGUGGCUCUAAAAUCACUAAAUUGCCAUUUUCUGAACACGGGGCUGCUGUGCAGCCUGACUGCUGUGUUCUUCACUAGGGAGUUAUAAUCCACAAAAUUUAAUGACAUUAAAUAUGCUUUAUGUUAGAGAGCAGUAAUUUCCAAUCAAAAUCAUUAUGGCUUGGUUUUGUUUUUCUGUGUGGAAUUUCAUGGACAAAGCACUGAAUGGAAGCACGUGUGCUGAAAUCCAAGUGCAGCCCUGGUGACAGAGAGGGAGGCCUCUGGCAUGAAGGGCAAGGUUACUUUUAGGGGAGUUUCACACUUGGGGGGAUUGUAUUUCACUUCCCUUGGCUUGAACCCCACCCAGCACCUGGGAAAAUAGACGCCCCCUCUCAACCCCCUUGCCCCCCCAGGCAGCUCUGCCUGCCAGCACUGCUUCAGAGAGAGGUUUAACUUAGUUAACAGAAAACGGCAUCAAUAAACAUCAGCUCUGUGAAGCUCUCACCCAACUCCAGGGCCCCAGGCUCAAGCUGAACACACCCUCUGUCUUGGCAGAGCUCCCUGCCUUGGUGGCUCUCCCACGUGGCUCUCUGGAAACCUCUGCCAUCCCCUGAGAGCUCUGGAUUCCUCAGCAUCGGAGCGUGGAGUCUCCAUACACCUGCCACCAGGUUCCCAUUCCGUUGUAUUGGAGUCUGGGGCUUUGGCUGAACAAGGUCUGCUGUGAGGAUCUCUGGAGUCUUAUUUUUCUUGUGGUCUUGCCCCAUGUCCCGUGAUGCAUGGCCUGGGUCUAGGCCUGCCCUCCCUGGCCCUCUCUGGGGAGGGGCUGGUCCUCGUCACCGUCUGGCCAGGCCUGCACGGCACCUGACAGUGAUUCCUCAAGUCCCCUGGCCUGUGGAGGACAACCUUCAAGCCACCGGCAUCGAAUCCCAGUCUCGCGAUGUUUCUUUGGCAUUUGUUGUGGGAGUUGGUGGUAGAGGAGGUUCAGUGCAUGGACUCAGAUCACUAUUCAUACAUAAAAAUUCAAUCGAACUAGG
rnacentral:lncRNA from 1 species